rnacentral:misc_RNA from 1 species
AACUUUUGGCAACGGAUCUCUUGGCUCUCGCAUCGAUGAAGAACGCAGCGAUAUGCGAUACGUAAUGUGAAUUGCAGAAUUCAGUGAAUCAUCGAAUCUUUGAACGCAUAUUGCGCUCUCUGGUAUUCCGGAGAGCAUGCUUGUUUGAGUAUCAGUAAAGACCUCAAAUCCCUCUACUUGUUGGAGGAAUUUGGACUUGAGCAAUCCCAACUUUUCGAAAGAGAAGGCGGGUUGCUUGAAAUGCAGGUGCAGCUAGAUUCUUUCUUCUGAGCUAUAAGCAUACUUAUUUAGUCCCGUCAAACGGAUUAUUACUUUUGCUGCAGCUAACAUAAAGGUUGAAGAGUCGCUAUGGCUGACUGAUGCAGGAUUUAACAUGUCGCGCAAGCGAUCUGUAAACUCGAUCUCAAAUCAAGCAAGACUACCCGCUGAACUUAAGCAUAUCAAUAAGCGGAGGCU